CACGUAGGGGGCAAGCGUUGUCCGGAUUUAUUGGGCGUAAAGAGCUCGUAGGUGGUUCCGUCAGUCGGGUGUGAAAACUCUGGGCUCAACCCAGAGACGCCACCCGAUACUGCGGUGACUGGAGUCCGGUAGGGGAGCGUGGAAUUCCUGGUGUAGCGGUGAAAUGCGCAGAUAUCAGGAGGAACACCGAUGGCGAAGGCAGAUCUCUGGGCCGUAACUGACGCUGAGGAGCGAAAGCAUGGGGAGCAAACGGG
rnacentral:rRNA from 1 species